GUGGUAACGGAGUUAACUCCCAACCCCUGUGACAUACCUUAAUGUUGCCUCGGCGGAUCAGCCCGCGCCCCGUAAAACGGGACGGCCCGCCAGAGGACCCAAACUCUAAUGUUUCUUAUUGUAACUUCUGAGUAAAACAAACAAAUAAAUCAAAACUUUCAACAACGGAUCUCUUGGUUCUGGCAUCGAUGAAGAACGCAGCAAAAUGCGAUAAGUAAUGUGAAUUGCAGAAUUCAGUGAAUCAUCGAAUCUUUGAACGCACAUUGCGCCCGCUGGUAUUCCGGCGGGCAUGCCUGUUCGAGCGUCAUUUCAACCCUCAAGCCCCCGGGUUUGGUGUUGGGGAUCGGCUCUGCCCUUCUGGGCGGUGCCGCCCCCGAAAUACAUUGGCGGUCUCGCUGCAGCCUCCAUUGCGUAGUAGCUAACACCUCGCAACUGGAACGCGGCGCGGCCAUGCCGUAAAACCCCAACUUCUGAAUGUUGACCUCGGAUCAGGUAGGAAUACCCGCUGAACUUAAGCAUAUCAAAA
rnacentral:rRNA from 1 species